rnacentral:rRNA from 1 species
GACGAACGCUGGCGGCGUGCCUAAUACAUGCAAGUCGAGCGAACAGAUGAGGAGCUUGCUCCUCUGACGUUAGCGGCGGAUGGGUGAGUAGCACGUGGGCAACCUGCCCUGCAGAUGGGGAUAACUCCGGGAACCGGGGCUAAUACCGAAUGAUCAGUUUGUUCGCAUGAACAAACUCGAAAAGACGGUUUCGGCUGUCACUGCAGGAUGGGCCCGCGGCGCAUUAGCUAGUUGGUGAGGUACCGGCUUACCAAGGCGACGAUGGGUAGCCGACCUGAGAGGGUGAUCGGCCACACUGGGACUGAGACACGGCCCAGACUCCUACGGGAGGCAGCAGUAGGGAAUCUUCCACAAUGGACGAAAGUCUGAUGGAGCAACGCCGCGUGAGCGAAGAAGGUUUUCGGAUCGUAAAGCUCUGUUGUGAGGGAAGAACAAGUAUAGGAGUAACUGCCUGUACCUUGACGGUACCUCAUUAGAAAGCCACGGCUAACUACGUGCCAGCCGCCGCGGUAACAC